CAAUCAUCUCGUGCGGACACCCGCACAGCUCGUGCUGGAGCAGCAGGAUCAUGACAGAAAGUCUUGGAGCGAAAAGAUUAAGAUCGUGCCAGGGAAAUUGAUAAAAAACAUGGGGUAAAAAACUGUUUCAGAUGGGCAUGGCUUGAAAAAAGUGUAACCAUGCAGAUGGGAAUGAAAACUGUUUCAACAUGUCUAACCGAACACAUACAAAAAGUGGACGUUCCCGGAAAAAGUGCUGUGCACUCUGUAUUCUGAUAUGAUCAAUUAUGGAAGCUGAGGAGCAAAAAAUAUCCAGGGGCAUAUCCAAACCAGGAAACACAAAGUAACACCAAUUCGCCAGGGGAGGGCGCUGUUUUGCAGCCUCCGGCUGACGCUGCCCAGCUCAUUCGCGGAAGAAGCGACAGAACAGUGACACGUAUCACGUGUGAGAACUGUUAGAGGAUGCUAUUUAUGGGCUGUGAGCUAAACGUGUAUUCUGUGCUGCUUGCAGGUCUUGAGAUUCCAUCCCUAAUCACACCCGCAAGUUUAUCUGCGAGCAUGACUGACCACACCCGUACAUUUUUCAAAUGGUAUGUGGAACGCCUGUUAGAAGAGCUCCGGACCCUCUAUGAGGAUGGGGAGCUGACGACGUCGUCUGCUGAUGCCCAAGCACCACCACCUCUCAGCAGCCAGUACACAGAACCAAGCAAUGACUUGGCUAUUCGGGAUCGUUUUUCAAGAUUUUCAAAUCAAAGAUGUUGUGAAAAUAAAAAAAAAUACAAAUUUGAAGAAGGCGAUAUAAAAACUCUGUCCGGUUUGUUAAACUGAAACUAAAUUCUAUCCUGAUGGAACUUCAGCGUCAGAGCUUUUAUGUUACAAACCUCUGAAGCAUGCUGAUUAACCACUCAUGUUGCGUGAUGCAAAAAAUUAAUGCAUUAGUCUGGUCUGUUCAAUAGUCAUUUUCUCAUCUCCCACCCGGUAGCUUGCGAGAAGGUGACUGCUUGAAAAGGAGAUCUUGGGGUAAAAAAGUCUGGGCAACCCAGUUCUCUUCAUACAUGUCCUGUACUAUUCUAACAUAUUUCUCCACCACACCAGACUUACGCAUCCAUUCCAUGUGCACAGUGAUUAGAGGAUAAGGAGUGGACCUUGGCAACAGAAAUGAAUCUUCAGUCUGCAUACUGAGCUCAAAUAAUACUUGGGGAUAGCAAAACGGUGACGAUUUUAUGAGUCCCGGGAACAAUAAAUCAAAUAUCCUAGAUAAAAAAAAAAAAACAGACUCAGGCUUUAUUCAUGAAAAUUACACAUUGGCACAGAGAUAUAAGUCAUUCAUGCCUUGACAGGCAAUAUACUGCCAAUCAAGUUUCCAGUUGGUUAAGAAAAAGUACCUAGCAGCAACAAGCAACAUUAAUCACAACGCAAGUACAUCAAAUCAACCCAUUUUGAUUCAAGAUGUGUACUACUUUUUAAAAGUCUGCAGCCUUGUCAAAAUGAUCAGAAGCUACACCUCUUUACAAUAAUAAAUGUUAAUAAUCUGAGCAUAUGUGUGCCAUGUUCAUGUUUGUAUUUUCAUCGUGUAAGCAAAGCACUCCAUAAUUGCAAACUGAGAAUAAACAGACAGAAUAAACUGGUUUUUUUUGUUUCCAGCUGAAAAAAAUCAGGUGAGAUAGUUGUUUGAAAGGGAUUUUGUCACUUUGUGGUUUUAAGGUGUGUUGUCUUUGUUGCGCCUACAAAUAAAUGACAGAACAGCUCAUGGGUGUUAGUAGGAUGGCAGCAUUCAACUAGCUUCAAUCCAAAAUACCCCCAUUACUACAUACCCCAUACUUACAUUACUACAUUGUGGUGGUGGUGAUUGGACUUGGAACUAAUUCAUUUAAUUCCAUUAAUUGUGCAGCUACCAGCUUGCCAUCAGUAAAACAGCUUCCUGCAUUGCGGCUGCAUUUCAAGCGCAUGUGUCUGCUUUCAAGUUGUGGGAGCACUUCAGUUGUACAGCCAAGUUAAGGACCCUUGUCCUCCAAGAUUCUUCUCCUCUCCUUGUCCUGCUGUAUCUAGUCCUGUUUUCCCCUCACAUGGUGUAGCAUUACAGCCCCAUGCAACACUCAUAUCUAAUAUUUGUCAUGAAAUGCAUUAAUUUUAGUAUGUUAUUAAUGAAAAAACAGUAAUCGGAACGGACCGAUCUGUUUUUUUACCACUAAACAUUAUUUUGACGUAUAUGGCUUUUUGUAACUCCCGCCAUGAAAAUCCUCCUGAGGGAUUUGUUUUCGAGAAGAAGCAUGAAGUGACGUACAGGGUAGUAGCACACUCAAGCGGUCUUGUAUGUUUAUACUAGGUUUACCUGCUGGAAGGUAGGUCGUUGUUGCUUCGUGUUAGCCAAAAUACUGGCUCGUUGUAUUGCUGGAUAUUGCUCGAACGCUCGGUAGGAUAGAUUCGCGCUUCAUACUUUUCCAAAAGACCCGGUUCGUUGUGAAAAAUGGAUUGCACAGGUGCAAAGAACGAGAGGUUAGGUUCCAAAUGGCAGGUAGGUGUGUAUCUUCUUCUUUUCCUAUCGGCUUGUCCCGUUAGGGGUCUCCACAGCGUGUCAUCUUUUUCCAUCUAAGCCUAUCUUGUGCAUCUUCCUCUCUAACACACACUGUCCUCAUGUCCUCCCUCACAACAUCCAUCAACCUUUUCUUUGGUUUUCCUCUCGCUCUUUUGCCUGGCAGCUCCAUCCUCAACACCCUUCUACCAAUAUACUCACUCUCUCGCCUCUGAACAUGUCCAAACCAUUGAAGUCUGCUUUC